rnacentral:lncRNA from 12 species
AUGACCAUGGUUACCACCUGUGACAUGGAUUAUCAGCCUGCAGUAUUGGACUUUCCUUCCUUCAGCCCAUCUGCACUAGGACAUGGUGCUCUUUAUGGAAAAGCAGCUGUUCCUGCCACCACGACCAGCCACGAAGUUGGUGGCCUAACCUUGGUCCUAAAUAGUGGCUCUAGGGGAACUGGGAAGGAGGCCACAGGCACUGUCCACCCAGGUGGCCGCGCUGGGCUGUGCCAGGGGGAGUUGGGCCAGAAGCAAAGCCCUGCUCUGCUCCCCAGGGCUUCUUGCCAGCACAGCCAGAACCCUGCAGAGAACCUGCUCGGACCCGCCCGACGUGAGGCAGCUGUCCCUCUUUUUCCCUUUUACAGUAACCCCGGGAACAUCUGGAAGAAUCAGGCGGCCGAGGCUUCUCCGCUGCAUCAUGAGGAAGAAAUUUCCAUGUAAAUAGUCCUCAUUCCCUGUGUAUUGUACUCUGCGAGCCGUCUGCCGUAUCUGGAAAAUUUUGCCUUCAGAUGAUGAAGCAAAGACAGUCUAAACUCUGUUGCUGUAAGCUGCAGCCCUUCCUCCCGGCAGGGCCCUCCCAGCGCUGGGCCGCCAAUCCGCAGCCAGCUCGUCAGCCCUGCUCCUCCGAAACUGGUCCUCAUAGGAUGACUGACACAGCAACACGGCGCUUGCAGUGUGUGAAAACAGUGCAUCCAUACUGAUGAAAGAGGAAUUUCCCUCUCAGAAGAAAGCAAUCAUAGCACCAAGACAAAGUGGCACAUAAUUGGCAGAGCCGAGAGAGGGGUAGCUGGAGAAAACACCCUUGAAGACAGCCAGCCCUAAGCUUGCUUGCGGCUGCACCGUAAAUACUUUGGAAAAGACCAACUCCGCAGAUUCAAGAGAGAGCCAGGUUGCACAGGAAACCCAAGUCAUUCUCCCAGUCGACAAAGCAUGUAUUUGUUUUUCAAGGAGAAACAAUUCCACGUCGGCCGUGGGAAGGAAUGCCUUCCAGAGCAUCCUCCAGAUGAUUUCCAUUAGGGGGAAGGAUGUGUUAGCCCAAGUGCAUAUUCAAAAUCAAAACAUGCUUAACCCCCUCGCACACGGUUUCCCUGUAGAACAUCUGUUACUGCAGUGGUUAAUUGCUGUAGCCCGCACAGCUUUCAGCUAAGUUUUUCCACCGCUGGGGUCUUCAGUUAGGGAACUCUGAACAAUGCAUCCGAUAUGCACACAUUACCCUUUUGUCCUGUUGGCAGGCACCCCUGAGAGGAUUAGGUGUGCUUCCCUCUAAUCCUAAGGGACCUCAGGUACCAUUUGAUAAAUACUGUGCAUUGGUCCAUACUGUCACUAAUGAAGCAGUGACUACAGGGAGGUAUUCACAGCACAACGCACACGGCACAUGGAUCCAAGGGGCACCGUCAGGUGCCGCUCCCCAAAGGUUGUCUAGAGGUGCCGAAGUUCCCUG